GAUGAACGCUGGCGGCGUGCCUAAUACAUGCAAGUCGAACGAGUUUCUCGUUGAUGAUCGGUGCUUGCACCGAGAUUCAACAUGGAACGAGUGGCGGACGGGUGAGUAACACGUGGGUAACCUGCCCUUAAGUGGGGGAUAACAUUUGGAAACAGAUGCUAAUACCGCAUAGAUCCAAGAACCGCAUGGUUCUUGGCUGAAAGAUGGCGUAAGCUAUCGCUUUUGGAUGGACCCGCGGCGUAUUAGCUAGUUGGUGAGGUAAUGGCUCACCAAGGCGAUGAUACGUAGCCGAACUGAGAGGUUGAUCGGCCACAUUGGGACUGAGACACGGCCCAAACUCCUACGGGAGGCAGCAGUAGGGAAUCUUCCACAAUGGACGCAAGUCUGAUGGAGCAACGCCGCGUGAGUGAAGAAGGCUUUCGGGUCGUAAAACUCUGUUGUUGGAGAAGAAUGGUCGGCAGAGUAACUGUUGUCGGCGUGACGGUAUCCAACCAGAAAGCCACGGCUAACUACGUGCCAGCAGCCGCGGUAAUAA
rnacentral:rRNA from 2 species